GGGACUCACUAAUCUCAAGCUAUCUCUGUUUCCCAAUUCGUGUUCACUCUCCUCUCUUUCAUCAAACCCAUUUCUUGUUUCUACCUCCAUUUUCCGCAGAACAUCCCACUGCUUCCCAAAGAUAUUCGCGUUUUCCAGCAAUGAUAUUAAAGUGGGCAGCAACAUUGAAGUGGAUGGAUCUCCUUGCAAGGUUAUAGAGUUUCUUCAUGUAAAGCCUGGGAAAGGGGCUGCAUUCGUGAGGACCACGCUGCGCAACUAUGUAACAGGGAAUAGCGUUGAGAAAACUUUCCGAGCUGGAAGUAAGAUAGAAGAGGCAAAUAUCUACAAGGAGACGAAGCAAUUCACCUACAAGGAUGGUGCCCAGUAUGUCUUCAUGGAUCUGACCUCUUAUGAAGAAUAUCGUCUAAAUGAAAAAGAAGUUGGAGAUAAAGCAAAGUUUCUAAAAGAGGGCAUGGACUGCAGUUUGCUUUUCUGGAACGGGAAGGUGAUCGACUUUGAAUUGCCUAUAACAGUAAAGUUGACAGUGGUGGACGUUGAUCCAGGCGUCAAAGGUGACACUGCCCAAGGUGGAUCAAAGCCAGCAACCCUCGAUACCGGUGCAAUUGUAAGCGUUCCAUUAUUCAUAAAUAGAGGAGAGGAAAUUAUGGUUGAUACUAGAAAUGGACAAUACAUGAGCCGCGCAUAGGUUUGCUUCAGGAUACAAUUUUGUUACAACUGAAACUUUUUGUAUCUAUAUGUAUUAGAACCUAGUAUUUGCAGGAGUAACAUUGAAGACCCCCAUUGAGAAUACUAUUGGAAACCUUCUGUUUUAGUGUACAAAUGGGAAAGAAAAGUAAUCCUUGUUUUACUGCCAAUUUUUACCUUCCAAAAACACAACUCUAAAA
rnacentral:misc_RNA from 1 species